rnacentral:rRNA from 1 species
CCUACGGGUGGCAGCAGUGAGGAAUAUUGGUCAAUGGGCUUACGCCUGAACCAGCCAAGUCGCGUGAGGGAAGACUGCCCUAUGGGUUGUAAACCUCUUUUGUCAGGGAGCAACGCCGGCUACGUGUAGCCGGACUGAGAGUACCUGAAGAAAAAGCAUCGGCUAACUCCGUGCCAGCAGCCGCGGUAAUACGGAGGAUGCGAGCGUUCUCCGGAUUUAUUGGGUUUAAAGGGUGCGUAGGCGGAAUGCCAAGUCAGCGGUAAAAUCGCGGGGCUCAACCUCGCUCCGCCGUUGAUACUGGCGGUCUUGAGUGGGCGAGAAGUAGGCGGAAUGCGUGGUGUAGCGGUGAAAUGCAUAGAUAUCACGCAGAACUCCGAUUGCGAAGGCAGCAUACCGGCGCCCAACUGACGCUGAAGCACGAAAGCGUGGGUAUCGAACAGGAUUAGAUACCCCGGUAGUC